AAGCCCAGUAUGAGAUAUCAUGAGAUCAGUAGAGCAAUCUAGAUCAUUGCGAACAGUUCAGACAGAUAGAGCAGUGUAUUUUCAAGGGAGCCAUCUUAGUUAAGUGAACAAUUUUAAACUUGUGUGUUAUUAGCCGUACCACUCCAUCAAGACUUUGUAGACAUUUAAUUUGUAUUUGCAGUUAUGUCGUCUUAUACUAGGUCCGAUAUUAAGAUGUCUUCAAUCGCAAAUACCUUCAUCUCAGCAUCCCAAGACCUUAGUGCAUAUUCUUUGAACACCACACAUUUCGUGAUUGGUCUCUGGCGAGCCUAAUUGGAAAUAACCUCAAGUAAAGAAACACUAGAACAAUUAGGAAUCAAUGCCUAUCAGUCGAAUUAAUCGACAUAAAUCAGUUUUGAGGAACGUCCCAGAAUUUAAAUUAAAGGCACACCCCUACAGAAGAAUGGGAAAGGGAACAAAAAAGCACAGUUUCAGAGGAAGAUUCAACAAAGUUGUUAAAGUGUUGCGAUUGUUCUCUGCUGGAAGUUUAGAGCACACUCACUAACUGUAACGAACUCUUGUGUUUGAUAUUUAUUGAGAAGCUGAGUACGAUCUUGAGACAAAAUGGGAAAGGGCAAGACAAGACCAAGACAAAGUGGUUUUAUAUAUGGACUAAGGAAGGUUGUCAAGGUCUUUAGACUGUUUUCAUCCGCUUCCCUUGAACAUACUCACUAAUACAGAAUUGGAUCAAUUUAUUAAAUAUUGACAAUAUAAAUUAAAACAGUUUUAAUAACUUUUUAUAGUGUAUAGGCUGUUUUUAGAUCCAUUAGAGAAAAGAGACGAUUGACUAAAGACAAUAAAUUGUGUCAGUUGGACAUUAAAAGAUUAGUUACAAGUGAGUCUAAAUAAUUAUUUGCCAGAAUCUUGGCAUUGGUGUUUGGAAAAUCGGUUAAUUCCGAGAGUAUUUGAAGCUAUAAUCCUGAAGACGAAGUUGGGGGAUGUUUAAAACAGUCGGGAGGAAAGGCUGUGCCAUCAUGGAUGGGAUGGUCAAAACGUUGUUGGUGAUGGGGAGAAAUUUGGGAUUUACUUUUCUGUUAAUCUCAAGAGCCAGCCUGGGCUUAGUUCCUGCAAGAAAAGGAGGUUACCCUAAAAGGGUGAUGACUUGUAUCACUUAUUAAAAUGGUGGAGGGGUGAAGAUUUGAAGAAUCAUAUUAAUGUGAGGAUGUGAAGAAUUACAUUAAUGUGAAGAUGUAAAGAAUUUUCUUUUUGCUUUUUUUUCUUUCCUUUUGCGUUUUUUGUAUUUACUGAUUUUAUUAUGUUUUUUGAUAUGAUUGUUUUUUGUCUAACCUAACGUUAAUAAAUGCUAUUUUUGUAACGGUUAUGUUAUAUGUAUGAUGGAUACUACACUUUAACAUAUCACUUGCUAAAGAAUAUACGGAAAAAUAAGUCUCGGUCAUUUAAAAUAUAAAGGUCUGUCGAGCAAAAUUGGAUCAUCCGUUUCUAAACUUAUUUUUAUUUUGAAGUAUGUAAUAACCCGGACAAAUCAAAUUUUAUACUCGAAUUAUAGCCCACAAUAAUUUAAAUGAGUUAAUUUAGUUAUAUUACAGUGUUUGAUUGUCAGAGUUUUGAUGAUUUCUUUUCAAGCUUCUUCGGGUAGUUCGGUCCCUGAUACCGACAACAGUUUGGCAUUCUUGAAAACAAUUUAUAUCACAGCAUACUACGUCGUACUGGCUAACCUUAAAACUGUUGCUAAUGAGCGCACAGUCUUUACAUGGCAUCACUAUAUGUUAUUAUCUGUUACAGUCGUAUUAAAGUUUCGGGUCAACUUUGAAAAAAAAUAAAUAAAUAAAUAAAAUUUGUGAUUAUUUUGACUUCAUAGUGGUUCGGGGUACCUUAACAUAGAAAUAAUAAUUCGCACCGACCGUUACAAUUUAACGACUUCUCAUAAUAUCUUUAAAUUCUGAUCGUGCAUGUUUCAAAUGAUUUAAAUAUUUUACACGUUUUGUUCAUUAUUUGUAGAGAGUAUACGGAUUCGGCGUUGCUUUAAAAUAAAAGUUGACCCGAACCUUUAAUUUUGUGAACUAUGUACAGUACGUAUUGGACAAUAUUUUCUGGGAAUUUCGGUUACCUGGUAAAACAACCACACACCUCAAAUUUACUAAAGUUUGGCAAAAUUGAAAGUAAACUUUAUAUAUUUAAGCAUUACGUGUAUCCUUCUGAAAGUAUUAUAAUUAGUUUGUCGCUUGUAUGAAUAUAUUGUGUAGGCCUAUUUCCUAAAUAUAUAAGAUUGAAAUUGUAGUUAAUUGGAUUAUUCUGAAAGUAUUAUAAUUAUUUUGUUGCUUCUAUGAAUAUACAUGUAUUGUGUAGUUUCCUAAAAAAAAUUAUAAAAUUGAAAUUGUAGUUAGUUAUAUUAAGUCACGUUCAGACGCUUAAGUUGAACUGGUUUAAAAACCCCGGGGAUUGUUAAACCAGUUUAACUUUGGCGUCUGAACGCACAUGUGGGGCAAAUAAACCAGUUAAAAAACCCCAGCUCGCGUCCUGUCUUCGAGAAGGCUUUUUAUUUUAAACUGGUUCAUCUUUGCCGUCUGAACGGGUUGGCUUAAAAAACCCAGCUCCAGCUUGCUUUGAGCAUGCGCAGUACGCAGUAAGUUACAUUCCUGUGAAAAUAUCGGGGUCAGACUGUGCCAAUGUUAUCUAAAGCGUGCGAGAACCGAAUAAAGAAUAUGAAGCUACCCAUGCGCAAUUAACUCUAACCUCCGACCGAAGAGGUCAGAAUAGUUAAACUGGUUUGGCUUUUAGUACGUUUGAACGCAACACGAUGCUGUCUUAAAAACCCCAGCGAUUAUGAACUGGUUUAAAAAUAAGCGCCUGAACGGGCUAUCUGAUGGUCAUCUGAAAGGAUCUACAAUGUAGAAGGAUUAAUCUCUUUUAUUAUUUUCAAAGCGCAUCCUGACACUGAACUAGGACCUUGGCCGUCUUAACAUCAUAUUCCCCCCACCUUCCACUCACAUGAAUAAAAAUGUAAACAGUCGAUAUAGUUAAAUAUAUUUAAUGUAUUGACACUACCAACAGAAUUGGUGUUUAAAUGUUUAAAAUAAAGCAUGCCUUACUGCAUAGAAUAAUCAACACAUGCGUUUACAUGAACCUUGAAACAUUUAAUAGUUCAGCAAAAAAAAUAUGGUCGCCCCCACCCAUGCCUCCCGACAAUUGCCCAGCGUGAUACAUGUGUUAAGACGGCCCCGGUUAAGGCACGCAUCAUGUUCAAUCAUUCAACGUUUUUCUGCGAGUGUCUUCUGUAAGAAACGCAGACUAUCUUUUAGUGAUUCCGAGCAAAGUGCCCAGGUCAUAAAUUUAAGGAAUUCGCGCUAUACAAACAUAAAUCUGGUUGGUUUAAAUUAAAAAGAUGUAAGAUUCUUGAAAGAUUCGGAAUUGUGAAACUUGAAGAUAAUUUAAAACGGACUGCUUCAUAUAUUUGGAUUUUUCUUUUUACAUGUAAUUUAUUUUAUUAAUUCGAAGAAAUUGAAUUAUUCACUAUUCCAUAUUUGAACAAAAGUCUUCAUACAUUUAUUCGAUUUAAUUGAAUUGGAUUCGUUAGUAAUAAUACCACUCAUGAUACUUGUUAUUUAACAAAUAUUUGAACAAAUUAUUUUUUACCCUUUUUCAAAUCUAUAUAUAUUUAUAGAUGGUUUAUAUAUAUAAAAAAAAAAAUCUGAAAUUUAUGUAUUUGUAAUUUGGCUAUUAAAGGGCUUUAUUCGGUUCGUUACAAAUAAUAAUAUUGCUUAUACAUGUGAUUAAACAAACGUUUGAACAACAUUUUCUCUAAAUUAUUAUAUGUAUUUAGUAUGCUUAUGUCGUAAAUUUAUAUAUAGCUUAUUAGAAAAAUGAUUAAUUUAUGUAUUUGUAAUUUGGCUAUAAUUAAAGGGCUAUCAUUGCUUACAAUAUA